CCAGACAGCCAGGAUGUUGGCUUAGAAGCAGCCAUCAUUUAAAGAAAGCGUAAUAGCUCACUGGUCGAGUCGGCCUGCGCGGAAGAUGUAACGGGGCUAAACCAUGCACCGAAGCUGCGGCAGCGACACUAUGUGUUGUUGGGUAGGGGAGCGUUCUGUAAGCCUGUGAAGGUGUACUGUGAGGUAUGCUGGAGGUAUCAGAAGUGCGAAUGCUGACAUAAGUAACGAUAAAGCGGGUGAAAAGCCCGCUCGCCGGAAGACCAAGGGUUCCUGUCCAACGUUAAUCGGGGCAGGGUGAGUCGACCCCUAAGGCGAGGCCGAAAGGCGUAGUCGAUGGGAAACAGGUUAAUAUUCCUGUACUUGGUGUUACUGCGAAGGGGGGACGGAGAAGGCUAUGUUGGCCGGGCGACGGUUGUCCCGGUUUAAGCGUGUAGGCUGGUUUUCCAGGCAAAUCCGGAAAAUCAAGGCUGAGGCGUGAUGACGAGGCACUACGGUGCUGAAGCAACAAAUGCCCUGCUUCCAGGAAAAGCCUCUAAGCAUCAGGUAACAUCAAAUCGUACCCCAAACCGACACAGGUGGUCAGGUAGAGAAUACCAAGGCGCUUGAGAGAACUCGGGUGAAGGAACUAGGCAAAAUGGUGCCGUAACUUCGGGAGAAGGCACGCUGAUAUGUAGGUGAAGUCCCUCGCGGAUGGAGCUGAAAUCAGUCGAAGAUACCAGCUGGCUGCAACUGUUUAUUAAAAACACAGCACUGUGCAAACACGAAAGUGGACGUAUACGGUGUGACGCCUGCCCGGUGCCGGAAGGUUAAUUGAUGGG
rnacentral:rRNA from 1 species